GUUGCCUGCCGCAAGAGAGUGCGUUGCUAGAGAUACCAUGCCGGGAAGGAUAGUCGCACAAUGUGAACGAGACGACACGUUGGUAUGAUGAGUGUGCAGAUAGUUCGCGAGUGAUCAACAAAGGGGUUUGCUGAUUGUUCCUGGACCACUCUGUACAUCACUGCAAUAGGAUUGGCUGGUUUGUUGACUCUUCUAGCUACCACACGAGGAUUUCAACUAGUUGAAGCUGGUCCAGUUCAGUGCACGAUAAGAGUAGUAUGUUCGAGAAUGUGACUGAAGACAUGAGCCAAUCAGUAAACUAUAAGGAAAACACGAAAAAUGACAUGUUUCAAGAAGCAACUGAUUCGUGUGAGCUAUAGUCAUUAAUUGAAAAGGACUAACAACUACCAUAUGAAAAACAUCUAUGAGAAUCAAGUUCUGGAGUUUAAUAACUUAUUUUUAUUUAUUUUCCAAUAUUGAUUAUGAUAUUGUUUCUAUAAAUUGUCGAGGUCAACUUAUGAUCGAGUACAUAUUGCUUUAUUCUCUAUGGUAUUAAAAACCAACACUGUUUUCUAUGUGGAAAACAUAUUCUUUAAACUAGUAUUGUAAAUGGUGUCUCUAGUAAUUGUUGUUAAUGGAGUUAACGUUAGAUACUUUAUGUGUUGUUUACCUUUGAACUUUAGAAAUUUUAAAACAUCAAAUAUUUUAUGUUAUAUUUCUCUGUUAAUCAACGAAAUAUUUU
rnacentral:misc_RNA from 1 species